AUCGCUUCUCGACCUUUUGGCUAAGAUCAAGUGUAGUAUCUGUUCUUAUCAGUUUAAAAAGGGACAACUAGGGGUGGGCAUUUUGACACAGUGGUUUAGUCAUCACUGGGGUGCCCAUAUUCCACAUCGAAGUGCCUGGCUUGAGUCCUGGUUCUGCUUCUUCCUUUUUUUUUAAAAAAAAAAAAAAAAACUGGAA
ensembl:snRNA U2 U2 spliceosomal RNA